rnacentral:rRNA from 3 species
GAAAGCAUUUGCCAAGGACGUUUUCAUUAAUCAAGAACGAAAGUUAGGGGAUCGAAGAUGAUCAGAUACCGUCGUAGUCUUAACCAUAAACUAUGCCGACUAGGGAUCGGGCGUUGUUCUUUUUAUGACUCGCUCGGCACCUUACGAGAAAUCAAAGUUUUUGGGUUCUGGGGGGAGUAUGGUCGCAAGGCUGAAACUUAAAGGAAUUGACGGAAGGGCACCACCAGGAGUGGAGCCUGCGGCUUAAUUUGACUCAACACGGGAAAUCUCACCAGGUCCAGACACAAUAAGGAUUGACAGAUUGAGAGCUCUUUCUUGAUUUUGUGGGUGGUGGUGCAUGGCCGUUCUUAGUUGGUGGAGUGAUUUGUCUGCUUAAUUGCGAUAACGAACGAGACCUUAACCUACUAAAUAGUGCUGUUAGCUUCGGCUGAACUGGCACUUCUUAGAGGGACUAUCGAUUUCAAGUCGAUGGAAGUUUGAGGCAAUAACAGGUCUGUGAUGCCCUUAGACGUUCUGGGCCGCACGCGCGCUACACUGACGGAGCCAGCAAGUACUAUCCUUGGCCGAAAGGUCCGGGUAAUCUCGUGAAACUCCGUCGUGCUGGGGAUAGAGCAUUGAAAUUAUUGCUCUUCAACGAGGAAUUCCUAG